AUUGAACGCUGGCGGCAGGCCUAACACAUGCAAGUCGAGCGGAUGAUGGUAUCUUGCUCCUGGAUUCAGCGGCGGACGCGUGAGUACUUCCUAGGAAUCUGCCUGGUAGUGGUGGAUAACGUCCGUAAACGGGCGCUAAUACCGCAUACGUCCUGAGGGUGAAAGUGGGGGAUCUUCUGACCUCUCGCUCUCAGUUGAUCCUAGGUGGGAGUAGCUAGUUGGUGGGGGAAAGGCCUACCAAGGCGACUAUCCGUAACUGGUCUGAGAGGAUGAUCAGUGACACUGGAAGGGAGAGACGGUCCAGACUGCUACGGGAGGAAGCAGUGGGGAAUAUUGGAAAAUGGGCGAAAGGAUGAUCCAGCAAUGGGGGGUGGGUGAAGAAGGUCUUGGGAUGGUAAAGAAGUAGAAGUAGGGAGGAAGGGCAGUAAGUUAAUAAGAAGAUGUAAUGACGUUAACAAGAGAAUAAGCACCGGCUAACUACGUG
rnacentral:rRNA from 1 species